UGGGAUGAAGGAAGAAGUUGAAGGGGUUGUGCUUUCCAAGUUAUAUUCUACAGAAGUGUUUAAUUUCUUGUAGCUCCAUCUCAUUGCUGCAUUUGAAACACAGCAUUAAUUUAUAUUCACCCCUUUAUUUGCUUUAUUUGUGUUUUUUAACCUGAUCUGUAGAACAGAGAGGCUGAAAGUACUUAACUCUCAUUCAGUACCCACGCUGCCUUACUGCCUGGAUAUCUGACCCCUUUCCAUAAAUAUUUCUUUUUCAAUCCAUCUCACUCUUCAAUAGAAAGCUGCUAUUACAUAUAUUGUCAUUUUUGAAGGAAGUUGGGAGAGUCAAAGCUUUACUCAUAACAGGUUUUGUCUUAGACUUUGAUACCCACCAGCUAUGGUAUCUUAAAAGCAAGUUGCUCUCCCAUCACUUUCCUUUCCCUCUGCCCUGCCAUUCCUUUUAUAAUGCUGUGAAGACAGCUCACCUCCUCAGAUAAAUCGCCACUACCUAUUUUGCUUGUAAAUAGGCAAUUUUGAGAAUUAAAUGGGAGGAUGUAAUUUCUUCCCUUAGCACCUAUUUGGAUAUGUAGAUUCUGGAUAAAGAGGGAUCCUUAUGUUUAUUUUCAAAGUAUAUUGUUUCUCCUAGAUUUUACUCUUAACCUCUUUCUAACUUUGGGUCCCUAUUUUUCAUUGCCUUCCUUUCUAGGCAGCUCUAUUCUUACAGAGCCAUGGCAGGACAUUUAAAAAUUCCAAUAGAAAACACUAAAAAGAAAGUCUGUAGUGACUAACUAUUGGGAACCUAUUUUCUCAAUCUUCCUCCAUGUUGUGUUCCUUGUAUUCUCAAGAUGAUAAUAUAUUAUGUAUUUGAAUUGCUGAAAAGUUGAAAAUGAAGU
rnacentral:lncRNA from 1 species